GAUGAACGCUGGCGGCGUGCCUAAUACAUGCAAGUCGAGCGAAUGGAUUAAGAGCUUGCUCUUAUGAAGUUAGCGGCGGACGGGUGAGUAACACGUGGGUAACCUGCCCAUAAGACUGGGAUAACUCCGGGAAACCGGGGCUAAUACCGGAUAACAUUUUGAACCGCAUGGUUCGAAAUUGAAAGGCGGCUUCGGCUGUCACUUAUGGAUGGACCGGCGUCGCAUUAGCUAGUUGGUGAGGUAACGGCUCACCAAGGCAACGAUGCGUAGCCGACCUGAGAGGGUGAUCGGCCACACUGGGACUGAGACACGGCCCAGACUCCUACGGGAGGCAGCAGUAGGGAAUCUUCCGCAAUGGACGAAAGUCUGACGGAGCAACGCCGCGUGAGUGAUGAAGGCUUUCGGGUCGUAAAACUCUGUUGUUAGGGAAGAACAAGUGCUAGUUGAAUAAGCUGGCACCUUGACGGUACCUAACCAGAAGGCCACGGCUAACUACGUGCCAGCAGCCGCCGUAA
rnacentral:rRNA from 1 species